AAACGCAGCUGUUUGAAAUAACUUCGGAAUAACAACCAUCACUAGGAAGUUAUUGAAUACCAUCAUCCCCUGGCCAGCAACUUGUGCUGCACGCAGACCUCAUGACAGAACGACGAUAAAAAUGCCAGGGCUAAUUUCUACCACCGUGUCCAGCGCGUCGCAUUAAUCCAGGCAGCAAACUGUAAGGAAUGUGUCAGGGACUACGAGAACGUUGCCCAUUCCUUGUGUUUCUACGUGAAAUGCAUUUCUAGCCACACCCAUAAAGAACUUGUCUCUCCUGACAGUACACAGUGGGCACCAAUUUGCUUCCUCAAGAUUUCAGAAUGUGCAUCUGAGGACUUAGGCUGCGCGUCGUAAAGUUUCCCUCAGCAACUGCUAAAAUUAUUCACAAGGCACUGCAGCAUG